GUGGGAAAUAUUGGACAAUGGGCGAAAGCCUGAUCCAGCCAUGCCGCGUGUGUGAAGAAGGUCUUCGGAUUGUAAAGCACUUUAAGUUGGGAGGAAGGGUAGUAACCUAAUACGUUGCUACUUUGACGUUACCGACAGAAUAAGCACCGGCUAACUUCGUGCCAGCAGCCGCGGUAAUACGAAGGGUGCAAGCGUUAAUCGGAAUUACUGGGCGUAAAGCGCGCGUAGGUGGUUCAGUAAGUUGGAAGUGAAAUCCCCGGGCUCAACCUGGGAACUGCUUUCAAAACUGCUGAGCUAGAGUACGGUAGAGGGUGGUGGAAUUUCCUGUGUAGCGGUGAAAUGCGUAGAUAUAGGAAGGAACACCAGUGGCGAAGGCGACUACCUGGACUGAUACUGACACUGAGGUGCGAAAGCGUGGGGAGCAAACAGGAUUAGAUACCCGAGUAGUCC
rnacentral:rRNA from 1 species